rnacentral:rRNA from 1 species
GACGAACGCUGGCGGCGUGCUUAACACAUGCAAGCCGAACGGAAAGGCCCUGCUUUUGUGGUGUGCUCGAGUGGCGAACGGGUGAGUAACACGUGAGUAACCUGCCCUUGACUUUGGUAUAACUUCAGGAAACUGGGUCUAAUACCGGAUAGGAGCUCCUGCUGCAUGGUGGGGGUUGGAAAGUUUCGGCGGUUGGGGAUGGACUCGCGGCUUAUCAGCUUGUUGGUGGGGUAGUGGCUUACCAAGGCUUUGACGGGUAGCCGGCCUGAGAGGGUGACCGGCCAAAUUGGGACUGAGAUAGGGCCAAGACUCCUACGGGAGGCAGCAGUGGGGAAUAUUGCACAAUGGGCGGAAGCCUGAGGAAGCAACGCGGCGUGCGGGAUGACGGCCUUCGGGUUGUAACCCGCUUUCGCAUGUGACGAAGCGUGAGUGACGGUAAUGGGUAAAGAAGCACCGGCUAACUACGUG